GGGAAAAGCUCAAAUUUAAAAUCUGGCGUACCUUUGGUCGUCCGAGUUGUAGUCUGGAGAAGUGUUUUCUGUAUUGGACCAUGUACAAGUCCCUUGGAACAGGGUGUCAUAGAGGGUGAGAAUCCCGUCUUUGACAUGGAUUACCAGUACUUUGUGAUACACUCUCAAA
rnacentral:rRNA from 1 species